AAAUUGAAGAGUUUGAUCAUGGCUCAGAUUGAACGCUGGCGGCAGGCCUAACACAUGCAAGUCGAACGGUAACAGGAAGCAGCUUGCUGCUUCGCUGACGAGUGGCGGACGGGUGAGUAAUGUCUGGGAAACUGCCUGAUGGAGGGGGAUAACUACUGGAAACGGUGGCUAAUACCGCAUAACGUCGCAAGACCAAAGAGGGGGACCUUCGGGCCUCUUGCCAUCAGAUGUGCCCAGAUGGGAUUAGCUAGUUGGUGAGGUAACGGCUCACCAAGGCGACGAUCCCUAGCUGGUCUGAGAGGAUGACCAGCCACACUGGAACUGAGACACGGUCCAGACUCCUACGGGAGGCAGCAGUGGGGAAUAUUGCACAAUGGGCGCAAGCCUGAUGCAGCCAUGUCGCGUGUAUGAAGAAGGCCUUCGGGUUGUAAAGUACUUUCAGCGGGGAGGAAGGUGUUG
rnacentral:rRNA from 1 species